GGGAUUGCAUGGGGGGAAACCACACUUCUUCUUCCUCUUCUCUGCCGUUGCGCCGCCUUCUCCUGCAUCCCUCUCAGUGAAUCAUAGGCUAUUUUAACAUCGUGUUCGUAGGAGCUUUCUGGAAGCACUUUUCUUCCAUCCAGACAUCAGGAAAUAAGAGGAAAUCUUUCGGUCAGAUUGCAGGGGACCGUUGGAGAGACACCGUCACGUGACCCCCGGUGCCAAAUGGUCUUCCGGCAGCGGGUUUCAGCAAGGACCGGAGCACAAGCAGACGCCACCUCUUCUCUCAGAAAUGCAGAAGGCAACAUACUACGACAACUCUUC